rnacentral:rRNA from 1 species
GACGAACGCUGGCGGCGUGCUUAACACAUGCAAGUCGAACGGAAAGGCCCUGCUUUUGUGGGGUGCUCGAGUGGCGAACGGGUGAGUAACACGUGAGUAACCUGCCCUUGACUUUGGGAUAACUUCAGGAAACUGGGGCUAAUCCCGGAUAGGAGCUCCUGCUGCAUGGUGGGGGUUGGAAAGUUUCGGCGGUUGGGGAUGGACUCGCGGCUUAUCAGCUUGUUGGUGGGGUAGUGGCUUACCAAGUCUUUGACGGGUAGCCGGCCUGAGAGGGUGACCGGCCACAUUGGGACUGAGAUACGGCCCAGACUCCUACGGGAGGCAGCAGUGGGGAAUAUUGCACAAUGGGCGGAAGCCUGAUGCAGCAACGCCGCGUGCGGGAUGACGGCCUUCGGGUUGUAAACCGCUUUCGCCUGUGACGAAGCGUGAGUGACGGUAAUGGGUAAAGAAGCACCGGCUAACUACGUG